rnacentral:rRNA from 1 species
CCUACGGGUGGCAGCAGUGAGGAAUAUUGGUCAAUGGACGAGAGUCUGAACCAGCCAAGCCGCGUGAAGGAUGACUGUACUGAGGGUUGUAAACUUCUUUUGUAUGGGAAUAAAAUGUUCCACGCGUCGGCUUUUGUGUGUACCAUAUGAAAAAGCAUCGGCUAACUCCGUGCCAGCAGCCGCGGUAAUACGGAGGAUCCGAGCGUUAUCCGGAUUUAUUGGGUUUAAAGGGUGCGUAGGCGGUUUGUUAAGUCAGUUGUGAAAGUCGGCGGCUCAACCCGAGAAUUGCAGUUGAAACUGGCAGUCUUGAGUAGAGGAGAGGUGGGCGGAAUUCGCGGUGUAGCGGUGAAAUGCAUAGAUAUCGCGAAGAACUCCGAUUGCGAAGGCAGCACACUGGACCGCAACUGACACUGAGGCACGAAAGUGUGGGUAUCAAACAGGAUUAGAUACCCGUGUAGUC